UACGGAGGGUGCAAACGUUGCUCGGAAUUAUUGGGCGUAAAGCGCACGUAGGCGGACGUCUAAGUCGGAUGUGAAAUCCCUCGGCUUAACCGAGGAAGUGCAUUCGAUACUGGAUGUCUUGAGUAUGGAAGAGGGUCGCGGAAUUCCCGGUGUAGAGGUGAAAUUCGUAGAUAUCGGGAGGAACACCAGUGGCGAAGGCGGCGACCUGGGCCAAUACUGACGCUGAGGUGCGAAAGCGUGGGGAGCAAACAGG
rnacentral:misc_RNA from 1 species